rnacentral:rRNA from 1 species
AGUGGCGGACGGGUGAGUAACGCGUGAGAAUCUGCCUUGGGGUCGGGGACAACCACUGGAAACGGUGGCUAAUACCGGAUAAGCCGAUUGGUGAAAGAUUUAUUGCCCGAAGAGGAGCUCGCGUCUGAUUAGCUAGUUGGUGAGGUAAGAGCUCACCAAGGCAGCGAUCAGUAGCUGGUCUGAGAGGACGAUCAGCCACACUGGGAUGGAGACACGGCCCAGACUCCUACGGGAGGCAGCAGUGGGGAAUUUUCCGCAAUGGGCGAAAGCCUGACGGAGCAAGACCGCGUGAGGGAGGAAGGCUCUUGGGUUGUAAACCUCUUUUCUCAGGGAAGAAGCUCUGACGGUACCUGAGGAAUCAGCCUCGGCUAACUCCGUGCCAGCAGCCGCGGUAAUACGGAGGAGGCAAGCGUUAUCCGGAAUUAUUGGGCGUAAAGCGUCCGCAGGUGGCGACUCAAGUCUGCUGUCAAAGCACGGGGCUUAACUCCGUAAAGGCAGUGGAAACUGAAUAGCUAGAGUGCCGUAGGGGUAGAGGGAAUUCCCGGUGUAGCGGUGAAAUGCGUAGAGAUCGGGAAGAACAUCGGUGGCGAAAGCGCUCUACUGGACGGCAACUGACACUCAGGGACGAAAGCUAGGGGAGCGAAUGGGAUUAGAUACCCC